rnacentral:rRNA from 1 species
UACGGAGGGAGCUAGCGUUAUUCGGGAUUCCUGGGCGUAAAGCGCACGUAGGCGGCUUUGUAAGUAAGAGGUGAAAGCCUGGAGCUCAACUCCAGAACUGCCUUUUAGACUGCAUCGCUUGAAUCCAGGAGAGGUGAGUGGAAUUCCGAGUGUAGAGGUGAAAUUCGUAGAUAUUCGGAAGAACACCAGUGGCGAAGGCGGCUCACUGGCCCGUAUCUGACGCUCAGGCGCGACAGCGUGGGGAGCAAACAGG